GAGUAUUUGAGCAGCAGGCUGUCACUACCUCAACGCCAGAGUGUUUGCUAUUAUUGGAAAGAAGCCUUUCUGUAUCACUGGAUGAGCCUGGACCUUCUACCCGCCCUGGAAGGAUUAACUGAGUCACACUGAGCUCCACAUGAUCCGUUCAAGUCCACUUCUGGAAAACCAAGUGACAGUCCGCUCCUUUACUCCCCUGGGUCUAAUGUUAGUCUGCCUGUGCGCUCUCCAACGAGUUCAUUCUUCUCUGCAUUUAACCCCACAAACUGGAUCCAAGGAAUAACCAAGAGCACCCCAAAACUUUCCGGGUCCAGUUCACCAGUCCGCUGAGGUCCAACAGUAUUACCCAGCAGAAUAUCCAUCUGUGUUUUUGCCAACCCUCAAUAAACCAG